rnacentral:rRNA from 1 species
GACGAACGCUGGCGGCGUGCCUAAUACAUGCAAGUAGAACGCUGAAGAGAGGAGCUUGCUCUUCUUGGAUGAGUUGCGAACGGGUGAGUAACGCGUAGGUAACCUGCCUUGUAGCGGGGGAUAACUAUUGGAAACGAUAGCUAAUACCGCAUAACAAUGGAUGACACAUGUCAUUUAUUUGAAAGGGGCAAUUGCUCCACUACAAGAUGGACCUGCGUUGUAUUAGCUAGUAGGUGAGGUAAUGGCUCACCUAGGCGACGAUACAUAGCCGACCUGAGAGGGUGAUCGGCCACACUGGGACUGAGACACGGCCCAGACUCCUACGGGAGGCAGCAGUAGGGAAUCUUCGGCAAUGGGGGCAACCCUGACCGAGCAACGCCGCGUGAGUGAAGAAGGUUUUCGGAUCGUAAAGUUCUGCUGUAAGUCAAGAACGGGUGUGAGAGUGGAAAGUUCACACUGUGACGGUAGCUUACCAGAAAGGGACGGCUAACUACGUG